rnacentral:rRNA from 1 species
AAUCGUACCCCAAACCGACACAGGUGGUCAGGUAGAGAAUACCAAGCGCUUGAGAGAACUCGGGUGAAGGAACUAGGCAAAAUGGUGCCGUAACUUCGGGAGAAGGCACGCUGGUGUGUAGGUGAAGUCCCUGCGGAUGGAGCUGAGACCAGUCGAAGAUACCAGCUGGCUGCAACUGUUUAUUAAAAACACAGCACUGUGCAAACACGAAAGUGGACGUAUACGGUGUGACGCCUGCCCG